rnacentral:rRNA from 1 species
AUUGAACGCUGGCGGCAGGCCUAACACAUGCAAGUCGAGCGAGCGACGGGUGGGUGAGUAAUGUAUGGGGACUGCUCGAUGGAGGGGGAUAACUACUGGAAACGGUAGCUACUACCGCAUCCUAUCGGAUAACCCAUAUGGGAUUAGCUAGUAGGUGAGGUAAUGGCUCACCAAGGCAACGAUCCCUAGCUGGUCGGAGAGGAUGAUCAGCCACACUGGAACUGAGACACGGCCCAGACUCCUACGGAGGCAGCAGUGGGGAAUAUUGGACAAUGGGCGCAAGCCUGAUCCAGCCAUGCCGCGUGUAUGAAGAAGGCCCUAGGGUUGUAAAGUACUUUCAGUCGGGAGGCGUUACCGACAGAAGAAGCACCGGCUAACUCCGUGCCAGCAGCCGCGGUAAUAC